AUUGAACGCUGGCGGCAUGCCUUACACAUGCAAGUCGAACGGCAGCACGGGAGCAAUCCUGGUGGCGAGUGGCGCACGGGUGAGUAAUAUAUCGGAACGUGCUCAGUCGUGGGGGAUAACGUAGCGAAAGCUACGCUAAUACCGCAUAAGAACCAUGGAUGAAAGCGGGGGAUGGCAAGACCUCGUGCGAUUGGGGCGGCUGAUAUCAGAUUAGCGAGUGGGUGGGGUAAAAGCCCACCAAGGCGACGAUCUGUAGCUGGUUUGAGAGGACGACCAGCCACACUGGAACUGAGACACGGUCAAGACUCCUACGGGAGGCAGCAGUGGGGAAUUUGGGACAAUGGGCGAAAGCCUGAUCCAGCAAUGCCGCGUGCAGGACGAAGGCCUUCGGGUUGUAAGCUGCUUUUGUACGGAGCGAAACGGUCCUCUCUAAUACAGGGGGCUAAUGACGGUACCGUAAGAAUAAGCACCGGCUAACUACGUGCCAGCAGCCGCCGUAA
rnacentral:rRNA from 1 species